rnacentral:lncRNA from 1 species
AAACAGGGGUGUCCUGUAGCUCAGGGCAAACUUUGGACCUCAGAGCGCCUACUGCACAUCAUUGCCCAGUGGAGACUGCCAUGUUGCAGAAGAUGUGAAGGCUGAGAGGCUCAGUACCAUGAAGUGGCUGGCAGAAGAUCAGUGGCCGAGAGAACUGGAAUCUUCACCUGCUAGUGUGGCUUCCUACUCUCUCCCCACCAUGCCAUGGGUCUGUGCUACUUCUGCCUGCGUUUCGUUGCAGCUCAACACCCUGCCUUUGGAGGGUCCAUGUUCCCUUAAAUCUCACUCCUCUGAUAAAACCGGGCUACUUUGGGAAAGCGUUUACUUUCUUAAGGAUGUCUCCCAAGGGUAAACAUGUCAAACCCUAUGCCAUCUCCUUCAAACUCUGAACUGGACAGAGAUAGGCCUCAGCAUACUAAGUCUGUGAUGUUGGCAAGGAGUGAAGAGUGUGACAGAGGAAGAGGACAGGGUCAGCACCGGGAAGAUGGCACUCGACGGGAGGAGGUCAGAGGUGCAUGCUUCAAAUGGACAUUAAGGCACUCAAAGUGCAUUUCCUAACACUUCUGGUUGGC